UUUACCCUGGACCACACCUUCUCCCUCUCCCUGCCCCGCCUCUGCUUUAGACCACGCCCACUCCCCCUCGUUUCUGGCAAUCAGCCCAACUCGCCACACCUGUAUUUCCCCUCUGCCUCCCUUUAAAGACUCCUGCAGCCCAGCACUCAGGGCUGGGUCAUUAUCACCUCAUCUCUCACAUCAGGUACAGAACGAUGCGAUGGUUGUGUUCUUUCUCACACACACAACCCUGGAGAGGACAGAGGAGGAAGAGAGAAAGGAAACAACACACAGCUGAAAAGGCUCACCAGAAAACACAUCAGCUGCUGGAGACUUCACACCGUUUUAGGUUGUUGGUUUGAACCCUCAGUGAAAAGUCAAGGGUCGUUCCACCUUCUAGCGCUUGGGCUCAUGAGUCUACUGUGAAACGGAUUUAAAUUUUUUGGAAACUACUACACUAAGGAGCAGCUUGAGUCAUGUUUUGGCCCAGAAUGGAAUUUUGGAAUGUUGCAGACUAACUGCUGCAGAGGCCAAAAAAACUGGCUCAGAUCUAGAGUCUGUCUGUGGAAAGUACCCUGUGUUCUCUGUAACACACCUUCACUUCCACACCUGACAUUUCACCAAACUCUUUACUAAACAGGUGGUGAAAUGAGUUAUUCAACAGUGCAUAUGUCACAUAGGUUAAUAUGUGAUCACAUCUUUGGGCUUUUAAUGUUAAAGGUGCAGCUUUUUUAACAUGGACUGAAUGACUGACUGCAAAGUUCGACAGAAAAACUCUUAAAACCUGCUGCACUGUGACCUGUUAAUAUGAUGAUAUUACUUCAUUUGUCAUAUGUCACAAUGCUCACAUCCUGUUGACUUGACACACACUUACUGCAUUGUGCUUUAUGUAUUUCUGCCAUAUUCUACUGAAGAGCUGACUUGACCAGAAAAACACAUCAGCUGGAAGUUAAAUGUGCAAAUCAGCACUAAAAUACAAACGUCACACUACAGAUGUUGAACGUGUCCUGUCCCUGUCAAUAAAUACAUCAGCCUGUUACAUAUAAUGGUUUGCUCUGGAUAACAUGUCUAUAGCUCUACAGUAGCUACACUUUAUGCAGUAAUAGACAUAUUUCCAGUGACAGACGACAUUAACUGUCUGUCUUGUCUGUCUGUUUUAGUCUCACCUUCAGUCAAAUAAAUCAAUUAAUCGUCAGGUUUGUUCUCAACUCUUUUUUCACUUUUCUCGCUUUUCUUGCAGAGGCAGCUACACACAGCGUUUACAGCAUUCCAGAGGGGCUCAAACUGGGUUUCCCACCAUAAACAGUGAGGAAGCAGUUUUAUUUCAAUGUUAGACGUUUUAUUGGUAAUAUGCAGAUGUACUUAUACUGCAUUUACAACAUCUCAAUAAAAUCAUUCUAAUGUAACUUUUAUUCAAUAAAUGAUUCUAAAAA